rnacentral:lncRNA from 1 species
CUCCCAUCUCAGCCUCCUGAGUAGCUUGGACUACAAGUGGGGAAGGGAGAAGUGGAUGGACUGGACUUCUUUGUACUGCCCUGAAGGAAAAUGACUAAGAAGAAACACUUCAGCAACAGCCUUAAAACACUUCAGCAAAAUGAACACUAUCUCUGAUUUGCUGAACAGGAAAAGCCACAAGAGAUUCCCACAACGCCAGCAAUAAGCCAUCUACUCCUGUAAUGGGAACUUAGGAGCCAGAACCAAGAAGGGAGAAAAAAGAAGAGCUAACCCCUUUCUUGCUUCAUUAACCUCUGAAACUACAGUACCUUCAGGGGCUGCCCCCUUAAGCGUUCAGCGCGUCCUUCCUGAGGACACGUAUGUUCCUGCUCUAGCUGAAGGAAGCGUAACCGCUCCAAGCGCUGCAGUAUUUUGCACUUACUCGUGGACUGGCCACACACAAAAAAGAUGGCAGCUCAGUGAGCAGGCAGCGACGCAGCGAGGAGGUAGCUGAUCUCCGCUGAUGGACAACCUGGUCUGAGUAGCCACUCACUGCUUUACAGUGGCUGCUGAAAACAAGAGACUGCAAAAUAAAAAUGCAAAUGAAUGCCAACUAUAAUUAUGUUUAAUGUAAGCAAAAUGAAAAAAAAAGCCACAUAUUAAACAUCUAACUUUAAGAGCUUUCUUCCCUGUAAAUACUAUUAAUUCUAAUAAACAACCACUAAUUAGAACCAAGUA